rnacentral:rRNA from 1 species
UACGUAGGGUCCGAGCGUUGUCCGGAAUUACUGGGCGUAAAGAGCUCGUAGGUGGUUUGUCGCGUUGUUCGUGAAAACUCACAGCUUAACUGUGGGCGUGCGGGCGAUACGGGCAGACUAGAGUACUGCAGGGGAGACUGGAAUUCCUGGUGUAGCGGUGGAAUGCGCAGAUAUCAGGAGGAACACCAAUGGCGAAGGCAGGUCUCUGGGCCAUUACUGACACUGAGGAGCGAAAGCGUGGGGAGCGAACAGGAUUAGAAACCCCUGUAGU